UUGGCCAGUUCCUUCAAACGCAUAAAUCUUUCGCCUUUUACUAAAAAUUUCAGUGGAGGAAAAAUUUUGAUGAGUCCUUAAACAAUCUUUUGUUGUGCUCAGUGUUUCUACACAGA